rnacentral:rRNA from 1 species
UUAUGGCCAUAUCAUGUUGAAACACGAGUUCCCAUAUGAUCACCAAAGUUAAGCAACAUUGAGCCUGGUCAGUACCUAGAUGGGUGACCACUUGGGAAUACCAGGGGCUAUA